GGCUACUAGGCAAUCGGACUCUUCCACUAUCGGGAUGACUAUUUACUGACUGACUUAAGGACUGACUGAUCCAGGGAGCAAAGCAUCCUUUCAAGCGCUGCUUUCAAGGGCGAAGAGGAGCCGCUUGGUGGUGUUCUGAGGUAGUUGAACCAACAACUUAACCAACCUGACUAGGAUCAUCAAGAGUCUCCUCUUUUUCAUUCUUCGAGGGGCGGUCUCACUCUUGCGCAUCAUUUUUGCUGAACCCUGUGGUGCUUGGUAUGAGGCGAGCAUAUGCUGGAAUCACUUCGAUCGCUUGUCUUCAUUGUCCUUCGCUUCCGUCUUGUUUGAGGUCUUUCAGAACCUCGCUUCAAUCUUGGUUGCUGCCUUCUAAAGAAGCCCUCAUCCCGUUCAACCCUUUCGGCCUCUCUGCUCAUCGCGCUCAACAAGUGAAAACGUUCUACAAGCCCGCAUUUGGAGCUUCAAAAUGGUUUUGUCGAAGCUUUAGAUUCUGAGCACAUUAUAGUUGGUCUCUCGUGCAUUUGUUAGCUCUGGUUUUGGCCUCUGGGCUCAUUUUUUUCUUUCGUGCCUUCGCCCGUCGCUUUUUCGACCUAGCUUCAUCUGACCAUCGAUUUGAUGACUUAGCUUCAUUCGCCCUAGCUUCGGCUUCAUUGUCCUUGUCUUCGAUCUUGGUUGCUGCCUCUCUCCUUAUCUAUCUCCGCCCUUUCAUCCUCACAUGUCAUGAAGCACCAUAGCCUAGCCCCGAUCCACUGGAAAACAAUGGAACGGACUCAUCCUGCUACGGAAAGAUCUACCCUUAAUGCUUUCUGAAAGAAAUGGAUUGCCUCAAGCUUAGGUUGGACUUUGGCCUUCCUCCUGCACUCUUUCCACCCACCUACUGCCCUCUCUCUCGAUGUGGUGCCUUUCACUCUGCUUUCAUUCACCCUUCCUGCCUAUGGGGUUCCCCCGCCUGCUAUUGGGAUUGGGAAUUCUCUCUUUUUUUCUAAGCCUAAGGCUUUCCUUGACGACUUUUUUUGAAUUUCUUCUAGUCUUCCCGGUCACCAUUAUGAGGUAUAAU
rnacentral:lncRNA from 1 species